AGCGGGAGCGGCGGCAGCCGCGCCGCUGUGAUGAGUCAUGCGAAGGCAGCCAGACGCGUAGGUUCCUCACAGGAACCCGGAGGAAACCUGAGCGCACAUCGCUUGUUACCUAAUCCCUGCCUCCUUCGGGGCUUCCCUGGAGCUUCCGCCGCCGCCGCCGGCGCCUCCGCGGCUGCCGGAGGGUGCGCGGGGCCGGGGCGGCAGCGGGGGGCGGCCCGGGCUCGCCCCGCCGUGAGGGGACGCCGCGGUCCCGCCGAGCCGCGGCCCGGGCCGGGACCAGGAGCAGCCGCGGAGAGCGGAUUUGACAUCGGAGCGUGUUUGCGUGAGGGGAAGUGGCCAUGAAAAAGGAAGAGGCCACGAACAAAAGAGAUCCUGAUUGCAGCAAGAAAUGAAAUGAAGAACGUGGAAGUCAUGGCUGUGCAGCAGUUUGGUUCAAGCCUGAGUCACGGUAAAAGAUUCCCACUUACUGAGACAGGAACAUAGAAUUAUCGUGCUGGAUUAAAUCCUUUGUCCUUCAGAUCCAGCCUUUCAUCUCUGUUGCUGCCACCCCAGGAUAAAGGAGAAGUUCAAAGCACAGCUUUGACUGUCCUUGACCAAGGACUUUGCAGCAGGUGAGGGCUGAAGCCCCACUCUGGUACAGCACAGAAAGCUGCAUUUCUCUUCCAGCAUCCACUGCCUGUGUCCUGCUCUGAGCCUGUGGAGAGCACAGUGCUGCAUCCAACCUCCUUAAAAUUCAGGUACACACAAAGCCAGAUGAGUGAUCCACAUGCCUGUCAUUAAAUGUGCUGUGCCAGA